rfam:Haemonchus placei strain MHpl1 genome assembly, scaffold: HPLM_scaffold0007887
AACCUUCCUUCUUGGCGCUCCUAUUGUUUUGAAGAUAGAAGUGUAUGUUAUGGAAGGGAAAUAAUAUCCCUUAUGGGUGUUCGGAUCUCCUUCGGUGCCGUUUAAAUUUUCUUAUCGAACGGUAUCAUCCUCUGGAUUCGAGACAUUG